GGGCCCGUAGUCCAGUGGUAGAAUACUUCGCUUGCACCGAAGAUACCCGCGUUCGAUUCGCGGCGGGUCCA
rnacentral:tRNA from 1 species